GAUGAACGCUGGCGGCGUGCCUAAUACAUGCAAGUCGAGCGAAGCGGGGACGGGUGAGUAACACGUGGAUAACCUCCUAUAAGCCUGGGAUAACUUCGGGAAACCGGAGCUAAACCGGAUACUUAUAGUUGGAUCCGCGUGGCAUUAGCUGGUUGGUAGGGUAACGGCUUACAAAGGCAACGAUGCAUAGCCGACCGGAGAGGGGGAUCGGCAACACUGGAACUGAGACACGGCCAAGACGCUUACGGGAGGCAGCAGUGGGGAAUCUUCGGAAAUGGGCGAAAGCCUGACGGAGCAAGGCCGCGUGAGUGAUGAAGGUCUUCGGAGCGUAAACCUCUGUUAUUAGGGAAGCGGUACCUAAUCAGAAAGCCACGGCUAACUACGUGCCAGCAGCCGCGGUAAUUC
rnacentral:rRNA from 1 species